AUGUGGUCGGCUGCAUUUGUGCUCGUCCUUUGGACUCUGCUGAUCCCAGGAUUGUUCGGUGAGUCUUUCCUGAGGCAGACAGACAGAUUUAAGUCCGUCUCUCUCGGAGGGACGGUCACCAUCAGCGCCAAGGGGAGUUCAGACAUUGGUAGCACUCUCAGUUGGUACCAAGUAAAACCUGGGCAGCCUCCAAAACUGCUCAUCUACGGUGCAGAUGCUCUCUUCUCUGGAGUGCCUUCUCGAUUCAGAGGCCAACGAUCCGGCUCCGACUACACUCUGACCAUCAGUGGUGUCCAGGCCGAAGACGUGGCCGAUUACUACUGUUUUGGCAAUCAUGGCGGCGGAGUGUUCACACAGUGA